ACUGCUGGCGCUGCCCGGAUGCAGAGUGGGGGCUGCCUUUCCUGAUGAGCGCCCCCUCCUCCACCGGUUCCGGUUUACAGCCCCCGCCCCCUGAGCCAGGUAGGCCAGGUGGGCCCAGACCUUGGGUCCCCUCCUUGAGCUUUCUUUGGGCUCCUUGACUUGAGGAAGGCCCUGGAGGUUGGGGGUCGAGAGAGCCGGGAAAGGAGGGUGACCCUCCCCCUCCUAGGAUCCCCAGCCCUGGGAGUGGAAGAAGGGGUCACAAGACCAGUGUGAAUGCUUAAAGAGAGGGAACUCAUAAAUAGGCACCUACUGUGCCCAGGGAACCGUGCCAGGAACUUGAUGUUACUUAAUCCUUUCCAGGAUCCUGUGAGGCGAGUGGGGGUGUCCUCCUCUCACAGGGAAGAACUGAGGCACAGCCAGGUUAGGUGGCUUAUCUAAGGUCACACAGAUUACCCAGCUCAACACUGCCCUCUUUAUACAUGGGGAAACUGAGGCCUGGAGUGGGCUAAUGACUUGUCCAGGGUCACACAGCAAAAUGAGUGAUCAAGCCAGUCUUGGAAACCGCGGCUUUUUCUUCUCCUUUCAGCUCUUUCCCUCCCCUGCCCUGGCUUCCUCAAUGCCUUAAACUAACAAAAUGGAGACAGAGACACCCUGAGACGCUGGGCCAGAGGCUCCAGGGAUCAAGAGCCUGAGAGCCUUGCAGCCACGCCUUAUGCACACCCAGCUGUGUGUCUGCCACCAGCCGGCAGCUGGCCUGGACGCCCAUCCCCCUCCAGCCUAUUUGCCGCACUGCUGAGCACAGCAGCUUUUUUGGGUGGCUGAACCCCAUGCAGCAUGCUCACAGCCUAGGGCCUGGGAACAGUUGGUGCCCCACUGUAGCCUUUGCCCUCCUCUGUGCCCACUCUGGGGGUGGACGGACCAGCAACACUACUGGUCUGGGGCAAAGGGUGCCUAGGAAGCUACUGGUGAUCCCAAAUCCCACCAUUUGGCUCUGUUGUCUCUGACCCACAUGUGCCCUUCAUGCCCCCCUACACAGAAGCUGAGCUUCACCUGGCUUGUACUGUGUGGGAUGAAGGUUCCCUGGACUUCAGGGAGAUGCAGAAAGAGGAGGGAGUCUGGAGAGAUGGAUGCUGGAGGUGGGGAGAAGAGAGAAUGAGCCCCUCGGUGCAACCCUACUCAUUUUGCCAGCACUGCUUCCUUUGGCCCCUUCAACCUUCUUCACCCCCAUUCUUACCCGCUGUCCACCCAAUGCCUGGGCAGGUGGGGGCACCUGCUGAGGAGUGCAAGGAAGGCAGCCUCAGCCUCCCUGUGCUUUGCAGGAAGCCAGCCUAGGUUAGCCCUGCCGUAGCCUCAGAGGCAGUACUGGAAGGAGGCCAGGCCCCUCUGUACCCUCUUCUCCAGCUCACAGCCCUGCAGUAGCAGCUGUGCUCAGUGCCUCUGCUGCACCCCAAUCUGAAUCACACCCUCCCACGUCGGGAGACUGCAGCCUGGGAAUCAGAGUCAGGCGCCAGUGUUCGUGCAGCACUGAGGUUCUGCACACCCCACUUGUGUCUGCCACCAGCCAGUAGCCAGCCUAGCCCCCCCACCCCCGGCCUGUUUGCCGCACUGCUGAGCACAGCAGAAGAGUCACUGGCUCCUCUGGGUCUCUGUUUCCUCCUCUAGAAAAUCAAGCAUUGGGUUUGCUCAGGGAUUCUUUACGUGGUAAGGGUGUGGGUCACGAGCUCCUUGAAAGGGUGUGGAAUUAUAUGAUAGGGACACUUGUAUGCUCUUGAAAGAAAAAACAUUUUUUUUUACAAUUUUUUUUUUUUCCCCUGAGAUGGAGUCUCUCUCUGUCACCCAGGCUGGAGUGCAGUGGCUCAAUCUCGGCUCACUGCAACCUUUGCCUCCUGGGUUCAAGUGAUUCUCCUGCCUCAGCCUCCCGAAUACCUGGAAUUACAGGCGCGUGCCACCACGCCUGGCUAAUUUUUGUAUUUUUAGUAGAGCCAGGGUUUCACCAUGUUGACCAGGCUGGUCUCUAACUCUUGACCUCAAAUUAUACACCCGCCUCGGCCUCCCAAAGUGCUGGGUUUACGAGCGUGAGCCACCGCGCCCAGCCAACAAAUUAUUUUUGAUAUUUUUGUUUUAGAGACAGGGACUUAUUAUGUUGCCCAGGCUGGCAUGCAGUGUCUAUUCACAGGCACCGUCAUAGCUCACUGCAGCCCCAAACUCCUGGGCUCACGUAGCCCUUCCCAGUCAGCCUCCAGAAUAACUGGGACUACAGGCUCACGCCAAUGUGCCUGACAGGACACAUCUUUUCUUUUUUCUUUUUCCAUAAGUAAGGAAACAAGAGGACACAUCUUUUAAUCAGAUUUUCUCAAGGCUACAGGACCCGGAAAAGAUCCAGCAGUUACUUUAGGGGUUCUUUCUGCUUGGGGCUCCUGUGGGAGUGGAUCCCUCCUAGGCACUGGCCUGGGAAGAGGUUGGAGGACCAUGGUGGAAAGAGGCCAACUUCAGGCCUGGGGUGAGGUUAGGAAAGAAGUGGGGAAACCCAAGGCCUUCCAAGAGGUGGGUUCCUACAACUUCCUAACCCAUCUCUUUCUCCCGCCCCCGAGAACAGACAAAAACAAAACCAAAAAAAAACUCCAGUGAGGCAGCAGCUGACACCUGCAUUGACCUGUGAGCGAGUAGCACCAUCUUCUGGUCCAGGGUGGAAACCAGCUUCUGCGCUGCAGGCUCUGGAAUCCUGGGAGGGUCUCAUAUUGGGUUACCUCAUUCUCCUUCCUGACAUUUUUUUUUUUUUGGUUGGGGGUUGGGGGGAAGGGUCUGGCUCUGUCACCAAGGCUGGAGUGCAGUGGUGCAAUCUUGGCUCACUGCAGCUUCCACCUUUCGGGUUCAGGUGAUCCUACCACCUCAGCCUCCUGAGUAGCUGGGACUACAGGGGUGCACCACCAUGCCCGGCUAAUUUUUGUAUUUUCUGUAGAGAUGGGUUUUCGCCAUGUUGCCCAGGCUAGUCUCAAACUCCUGGACUCAAGCAGUUCUCCCGCUCGGCCUCCAAAAGUGCUGGGAUUACAGGCGUGAGCCACCACACCCAGCUUCUCCUUCCUGUCAUCUCUCUACUGCAUGGAGGGGUUGGGGGUGGGCAGUCUCCACUACCCCUCCUCCUCUGGGCCAGGCCUGGGAAGCAGGUGUCCCACACACCAAGCUGGGAGCUUGGCCAAGACCCUUCCCUUUCUAGGCCUCAGCUUCCCCACUUCAAAGGGCAAGAGCUAAUGGGUGAAACACGCUGGCCGCUCCAGUGGCCAGGGGGAUCCAGAAGCCAGUGUCCUCUCAUCCCAGGCUGUGAGGCAUACGAUGGGGGGUCCUCUGGACAUUUUCUUUUUCUUGAGAUGGAGUUUCACUCUUAUUGCCCAGGCUGGAGUGCAAUGGCUCUCGGCUCACUGCAAUCUCUGUCUCCCGGUUCAAGCGAUUCUCCUGCCUCAGCCUCCCAAGUGGCUGGCAUUACAGGCAUGUGCCACCAUGUCUAGCUUAUUUUGUAUUUUUAGUAAAGAUGGGUUUUCUUCACGUUGGUCAGGCUGGUCUCGAACUCCCGACCUCAGAUGAUCUGUCCACCUCGGCCUACCAAAGUGCUGGGAUUACAGGCGUGAGCCACUGUGCCCGGCUUCCUUGGGACAUUUCUAAGUGUGGGCUUCCCUGCCUUCUGCUACCCACCUGCCCAUCCUGCCCAGAAUGGCAUGAGGACGCCAGAGGCAGAGCUAGGAGUCUGCUGGCCCUGACACCAUAGCCAACCUGCCAUUCCCACUCAGGUCUUGCCCUUUUCCAUCAGCCCAUUACAUGCCCUGAAAGGCACGCCAGCUCAUCACUCCAACAGAAGAGUUCCUCAGAAAAGAGCUGGGGGGCCAGGCACAGAGGCGGGUGGAUCACCUGAGGUCAGGCGCUCAAGACCAGCCUGACCAACAUGGCGAAACCCCGUCUCUACUAAGAAAUACAAAAAUUAGGGGGCCGGGCGCGGUGGCUCACGCCUG
rnacentral:lncRNA from 1 species